ensembl:rRNA 5S_rRNA 5S ribosomal RNA
GCUUAGGCCAUACCACCUUAGGCACGCCCGAUCUCGUCUGAUCUCGGAAGCUAAGCAGGGGGCCGGGCCUGGUUAGUACUUGGAUGGGUGACCGCCUGGGAAUACCAGGUGCUGUAAGCA